rnacentral:rRNA from 1 species
AUUGAACGCUGGCGGCAGGCUUAACACAUGCAAGUCGAGCGGGGUGAUGGUGCUUGCACUAUCACUUAGCGGCGGACGGGUGAGUAAUGCUUAGGAAUCUGCCUAUUAGUGGGGGACAACAUCUCGAAAGGGAUGCUAAUACCGCAUACGUCCUACGGGAGAAAGCAGGGGAUCACUUGUGACCUUGCGCUAAUAGAUGAGCCUAAGUCGGAUUAGCUAGUUGGUGGGGUAAAGGCCUACCAAGGCGACGAUCUGUAGCGGGUCUGAGAGGAUGAUCCGCCACGCUGGGACUGAGACACGGCCCAGAAUCCGACGGGAGGCAGCAGUGGGGAAUAUUGGACAAGGGGGGGAACCCUGAUCCAGCCAUGCCGCGUGUGUGAAGAAGGCCUUAUGGUUGUAAAGCACUUUAAGCGAGGAGGAGGCUCUUUUGGUUAAUACCCAAGAUGAGUGGACGUUACUCGCAGAAUAAGCACCGGCUAACUCUGUGCCAGCAGCCGCCGUAA